AAGGAAAUCAACUUUGACGUUUGCCAUCAGAUGUUUGGACUCCCAAGGACGUAGAGCACUGUCGCUAUUUUGCAGCUCAGCUGUAGUUCCUGGCAUCACAGACACUUAGCGUACUGUUACUAUACAAGGAACCCAUUCCCUACAUUAGGACUAAAGGAAUCUCUGCUUCCAAUAAAAAGAAGUUCGGUUGAAAAUAUUACUCUUUACCUUGCUGGCUGCCAGCAACACAAUGAGGAAUGGAAAACACACAGGGUUCUUGCUUUUCUACGUCCUCUACCUUUAAAGCUGAAGAGAAGAGAGAGAGAGAGAAGGGCCGGGAGGAACGGAAACCCUUGAUCACCAACACUUCAGGAGUUGUGAGACCUCCUAAGCUUUAGAUGGCAGUUGAAAGAACAAAGAAAAGUCAAUGGGAGAUUGGGAGAUCAGUGAAAGAGAAGACCUAUGUGUGAGUGAGAAGAAAGAAGAACAAGC
rnacentral:lncRNA from 1 species